AAGAAUGUAAUGAAAUUAUCAAUGUUCUUGAAUUAAUUAUGAACAUGAUUAAGAAAGCUAAAAUCUCAGGAGCCAGUCUCUCAUUACCCAUUCACUCUUAGGGAUUGCUUUCAUUCAGGGAAGGAGAGGCGAAAAAGCCUUCCAGCAGAGCCCACUCCGGCUCAGCUCUUCUCCCUGUGUGCCUGUCCCCUUGUCUCUGCUGCCGGGCCAACUGACCAAGCCUCCGACAGACAGACCGGCCGGCCGGCCGCCAGCCCGCCCGCCGCCUGGACGGCUCUCUUGCACUCAUGCCUGUUAUGGUGAUGUGGCCAAGCUCAGCUAGCUGCUUCGUGGCCUCUGACGUUUGCAUGGAAAAGAGAGGAUGUGCUCAACCUUCCUGUUCUACACCUGAGUUCAAGCUCUGGGGUCUUGACCCUCUUAAAAAAAGAAACACUCGAGGGUUCAGACAGCCAGCAGACUGGAUUUAGUCCAGACCUGAGUCAGUCACGGUGCAGAUCUUUCUUUCUUCACUUGAGAUAACCAGACAGGACGACACAAUCUUCCGUGAUCCAGGAAGCAACCUCAAACCAUUAAAACAGACAGAAGUCUUUGGAACAAGUCAUGACCGUUCGCCUCCUGUUAUAUGCAGGGAACACAGCAACCUCUUCUGGACAAAAGUGAAAGUAGCAGACAGUGUAAAGAAGCCAGCAUAACCGAAACUCAUAAAAGGCCUCGGCUUCAAGAAUGGACAAAGCCAGGAUAGGACAUGCAAAGUUUGGCUUCAGAUGAGCCCUGGCAGCCACAACGAACACAGCCAAGAGCAUGGUAACCUUUUCACCCACAUACGUAAGAUUCUGAUUUGAAAACACAAAAUUGAAGCUUUUACUAAAAGAAAGAAUGGAUCUUUUAAACAGCGUGAGUAAAGAUAUUGCACAGACAAGUAUCAGACUCAAAUAUCACCAUCAAAGAAUGAUCAGAAAACAUUUAGCGCAUGACUUGAAAUAUUACCAACAUCGCCAAGAGAAACCAAACAACUUAAGGUUGGAUAAAUGACACGCUUACAUGAACGCUCUGACUGGGAUGUAAAAGAAUAAUUUUGUCGCCGCUAGAAAACAUAUGAAGAAAUGCCAGUUUUGAAAAAUGUCAUCUUUAAAAGGGAAAUCUAAAUGUCAGAGAGACAGAUACUUUACACAUAGAGAGCGCUGCCUUCUGGGCGUAACACAGAAAGGCGUGAGAAUAAUAUUUUUUUCCCAGUUGAAAUGAACUGCAAUUACCCGUCAUCAGGCACAGAAAGCAGCACGCUUCACAUCCACAGUCACAUCGCCUGGAGAGGAGCGUGGUCACUGUUUGCAACAUUAGUCAGGAAAUCUGAGGAGGAAAGCACAACAAAAGAAAGAAAUGUGUUUUUGUUAUGCCACAGGAAAAAAUAGAGACACUUUGUUCCAAUGUGCGAUAUGUUACUAAAAAAUAUAAUGAAUUAAUAUCAAAAACAGAGCAAUUGUUCAAGUACUAACAGAAAAUUAAUCUGCCAGCAUUUUGAACAAAAAUUUUAUGGUUCCAGCUUUUCAAAUUAAAGCAUUUAUUGCAUUUUCUUAUGUUACAUCAUAGUAAACAUUUUUGGUUUCGGACUGUUGGCAUAAAAAAAUACUAGUCGGCGCAAUAUUCAGAUAUUACAUAGAAAUGUUAAAAGAUUCAUGCAAGUGCAGUGGACUUACAGCAAGCAUGGCCUUUCUUAUGUAUUUGCAGAAAGAAAAACAUACAGAAUGUCAUCACUUUUUUGCAGGUGUUGUCAUUUUAUGUUAUUGCAACACUGCUUUACUAUACUGCCACACAUUUCCAUGUAAGGGUGCCAACAGGAGAAGUCAUAGUAGUUGAAAAAUGCAUAAAUGAACACCUACACCUGCUUACAACUGUAUUAUGGUAUUUAUAAACUGUUUAUUAAGUACUGUGUAUGAAAGGGAGUGUGUGUGCUAAAGGUAAGUGUUCAUAUAAAAUACAUUUCCCUCAAACCUGGAAACCAGUUUUCCUAACAGCCGUUUCCCAGUAUGCAGUUUUCUUGACUUAACUUGUGCAUAAAAGCUAUUGCGUGUGAGUGUGUGCGAUUGCAUGUGUGUACUCUGUUUAUCUGUGUGUGGGUGAGCAUUUGGCUCAGCGAUUGGCAUGAGGUCAUAGCUCCUACCCAGAAGACAGCAGAGAUAAAGCAAGUGGAGCAGCAAGCCCUGUUUGGGUUUAAAUUUUGCAAGCAGGCGAAUGUCAGUCUCAUGAAUAAGCAAAGCAGGGAAUAAAGCUUUCCUUGGUCCUCAGUUUGUUUUGAAGUUUGUCCGCAUGGAAAACGUCUGUGCUUCUCAGCUGGGAAUUUCAGCAGAGGCCUGAGUGGGUGAUUCAAUACCCGUUUCAAUCAUUGGUGCAGGUAAGUUACUGAAUAGGAGGGAAAAAUAAAGGAGAAGAAGAGGAGGAAUGAGCAAACUGAGGGGCAAGUACAGAUGAAGGCAGAGGAGGAGUAGAGGUGAAGAUGGAGAUUGGGGAGAUGAAGUCAGGGAAAGGGAGGUAAGAGAUACAAGUCUGCUCUCUGUUCCUGCUUUCCCGGGUCAUGUGUUUUUAUAUUAAUGGCUGAGGUCAUGUGUCAGGUCAGGGAGAGCUAAUCUUAACUCCCUGGCUGGAGGGCACCUUCAACCCACGGGGCAUUUAGGUACCUCGUCAACCCAACAGAAAACCACCGGGCUCUUCUCUUAGCAUGCAAAUGAGACAGGAACAAAUGUCCCAUCACUUCUGGGGCUUCAUGUCCCAAAGUGCUUAACACUCUUCCUGUCAACCCCCCCGCUCACUCCAGCUGCUUCAAAAACCCCUUGUGCACCCCCCUCACUCUUUUUUUCCCCCUCCCUCUUAUGUUCUUUAAAUGAGCUUUCCAACUCCACUUCUUUCUCGCAAUUCAAUUUUACAAGGCCAUUAUCCUGGGUGUAAUGUGGAGGUUAAAUAUAUCGGGGCAGACAUUAUGUGAAAAUAAUUAGUGCUAAUGAAUAAUGCACUCAUUCAGCUGAUGAAGGAUGGUUGUCAGGGUAAUGGAGUGCAAGGGAGGGGCCCCUCUGACAAAUGAAAUUAAAAUAUUUAAACACUGUUUUACGAUAUUACCAGGCCCUCACACUCGUUUCCUGUUACCUGCUCGCUAUACGGAGCGGGCCGUCCUCUUCCCUGACAUGAUAGUUGUGCCAUUACUCAUGCGCAACAUCUGUCUCGCCAAAGACGGAGCCCAGACACGAGGAGGAAAUGUCCCUGCCCGGCACUUUUACAGUACCUCACACCACAGCUAAUCAUCCCAGCCCUGAUAAUCACUCCGACGCCAAUCUUAUUGACAGCUGCUGUCCCUCUGCCAGAAUGUAGUUGGUUCGCUUUAUUUAUUGCCCCCUACACUCAUUCGGCCUCUUACGAUCUCAUUCUGCGCCCAUGAUGUGACAAUGAAGGAUGCGGGUUUUAAAUCGCCCAGUUUACAGCACCCUCCCAGCCAAUUGGCCUUCUCGAAUCAAUAAUAGCGGACCAAGCUCUCUGUGGCUGCUAAAUGGUAAAGCAUCAACACCAUUUCAUUAGACAUGAUGGUUGGAGGAAAGUGCCUUUGACGGGAGACAGAAAUCGCAUGAACUAAUGAUACAUGUUGCUCAGUGCUUCAAAACUCUGACCCUUCGGAUGGAUCAGUUCACCCAAUUUAGUUAAAAGCUUCUCCUCCCUUUAAUAUUGGCUAUUGCAGUGCUUUGGUUUGCUCGGGUUUGUAAAAUAGAAGUGAAUGGAAUUUCAUUUGUGUUGCUCACAAGACAAAAAGCUAUGUAUUUAAACAGGAGUACAACCCUCUUGUAGCUCUGUGAGGCUGCACUUACACUGAUAAUGCUAAGAUGCUAAACAGCUAUUGCUUGCUUUUGCAUGCAACACAGUUGCUAAUAAGCCCCAAACUCAAAGUAAAUAUUAGGUUUUAAACCAAAUUAACACAAGAAUUGAAACCAAAACCAAAGUUAUUAGAGCUCAUCCUCAGGGGAACACGAAGGUUUAGUUGAGAAAUUUUACACAAAUCCAUAAAAGGCAAUGUAACUGGUGGUGAGAAAGAGAAAGUAAAAGGAAGGUUCAUCAAAGCCAACAUGGCCAUAAAGUCGUGGUGUAAAAAAAAAAAAAGACAAUUGCUAAGAUGCUGGUGCUAAACAAUUAUGUUUGCCAUCUUAAUUUGGUACCUUUGUAUGCUAAACAAUUGCUAAUAAGCUCUCAACACAAAGUAUACAUUAGAUUUUUAAGCCAAAAUAAUGCAAGAAUUGAAUUUUUGACUUUAAGAUGGCAGUAAAUUACAUUUUUAGAACAUAAGUUAGAACCAAAGGUAUUAGGGCUCAUCCUCAGGGGAACAUGAAUGUUUAUAGAGCGAUCCAACAUAUAAUUGUGGAGAGAUUUUACGCAAAUCCAUAAAUGGCAACUUCAUGGUGGAAUGAAAGGGAAAGUCAGAGGAGGAUUCAUCCUCUGGGCACCAUGAAUGUAUAUACAGAAUGUAACCACAGUCUGUCCAGCAGCUGUUGAGACAUUUCAAUGUGGACCAAAACAGUUGACAGCCAGGUCUAGGACAUAUCUGUGAAACUGUUCUGAGAAGAACAAAAAUAUAUUGUUUUAACGCUCUGAGCGCCAUGUAUAAAAAAAAGAGGAAGGAGAAACCUAGAUAACUCCUGGCCAAUUAAAUCCCAAACUGUUGCAUUUAUAGAUGCCACUUAAGGCAACAAGUUUGUUGUUCGGUUUUAGUCUUUUGUUCGGAUUUUUUUUUUUUUGCACAAUUUUGGUGAAAAAAGGAAAGCACGGGGCCCAGAGUAACAGAUGUUUCACUAUGAUAUAACCAAAGGGAGAUAUAUCUCAUGUCAGAGACUGCCUGUUUACGUAGGGAAAGAGGAAACGUAUGUUUUCCCACAAAUUGCUGGUCAGCUAAUAGACAAAACAGAUUCCAUUCUACUAACUUAUCAACUAAUACAUGUCUCAGAUCAGAUACUAUACAAUGUUUCCCUACAAAAUGUCAAACUGGAUCUCAGAUCUUUACAAAUCAUGGAGGUCUUUAAGUCAGAGUUAUGUUCAGUUUUCACAGGACAAUGGACAGCUUUUAUUAAAAAAAACAAAGGCUAUAAGCACUGAAGUGUGCUGCUCUUUCCCUGGGGCUUAGCAAAGACAACUAGGAUGCCGAACCCAGCCACAUCUGACAACUUUCUUUUAUUAAUCUCAUAUUUUGCAGAUUGCCACCACAUACAUUUGACUUGCAAAACAGACCUAAUUAUGGGACCCGUAGUAUGGAAGCCACACAUCAAACAGUAAGUUACAGUAAAAGCCUAUGAUCCCAGUUGCAUUCUCUCCCUCUUUUCUUCCUGUCCUCUGUUGCCUCUGCACACCAGAAACACUGAUUAUAACAGGAGCAUUAAAAGGGAAUUACAGAGAAACAAUUUACACUUAAUGUAGCAGUCAUAUGAACAGGGAAGAACGAUGGACAAAGAUAUGGCUGUAUUAAUAAUACAUGCUUUAAUUAAGCAGCUGAGAAUGCAUAGAGCCAGAUCAAGGCACAGGGGGGAAGACAGACAAUGAAAGAAGAGUGGCAGAGAGUAGGGAGAAAGACAGCUGAAGAAAAAGAACUGAAAAGGAGAGACUGAAUGACAUGGAAAGUGUAAAACAGAGCAGAGGGUAGAAAGCAGAGGAGGGAGGAGGGUCGGAAUAUGCUGCUGUGAGUUUUCUGCACACCGUGAUUCAUGGGCAGUAAAUAUGCAAAGCCUGAUGGCCAUAAGGCAAUCAGAGGAGCGCCACUCAUCUACAUGUUGCACAGUGGGCUAUAAUCCAUCUGAGGGGCAAGGAAUAAUGAUACCAGGAAGCAGGAAUAAGAGCAGGGUCUGUUUAUUACCUCAGACAGAUCCAUAAUGCAUACAGAUGUGAGGGAGGGACGCCGCAGCCUCUGGCCACUGAACUCUAUUGAAAAGUAUAGAUGGUAAUAUUGUUUUUAGUGUAAUGAAAGACAAUCUGAUUUAAGCACCUAUUAAGUCAAAUCAGUCUGCUGUCAUAUAAAGUUUUAAAACAAGUGCUCGAGCUGUAGUGAUCGCUGACAGGCUGGAGAGGAGCUGAGACGGAUACAGAGGGAAGAAGUAAGAGGCGAUCUGGCACCUCAAAGGCAACGGCAAGGUCACCCAUAAAUAAUGUGGAUUUUGCAAUAUGAAUGUACACUCAUGCAAAGUGAAAUAGAAGGUUACAGUCUGCUCCAAAUAUGCACGUUUUAAAACCUUGCUCAUCAUUAAGACCAUGCCUGUACAGAUUAAAAGCAACCACUGGCAAUAAAACUGAAAUUUCA